rnacentral:ncRNA from 2 species
CUAGGCCUGUAACUCCGACCCCGGAAGCCUACGGGAGAGAUAACCCAUGGCUACCGGGGCGAUGCCCCGAGAAAUCGUCGGGGCUGAGGGUUUGAGCGGAAACGCCCGGGCCUCCCAUGUUUGGAAAGGAGCGAUGAAACCGAAAAU